CCCCUCUCGGGGUCACAUCUGGAGAGUAUCCAGGACUCUACCAGUCCCAACUAUGGGAGGGAGGGUCAAGCGGAGGCUAUCCAUUCCAUUCCUAGCUUGGGCAGUGGCUAGUGAGUGGGAAGCAAUCUGCUACAAGU